GACGGGUGAGUAACACGUGGGUAACCUGCCCAUAACCCUGGGAUAACUCCGGGAAACCGGGGCUAAUACCGGAUAACAUUUUGAACCGCAUGGUUCGAAAUUGAAAGGCGGCUUCGGCUGUCACUUAUGGAUGGACCCGCGUCGCAUUAGCUAGUUGGUGAGGUAACGGCUCACCAAGGCAACGAUGCGUAGCCGACCUGAGAGGGUGAUCGGCCACACUGGGACUGAGACACGGCCCAGACUCCUACGGGAGGCAGCAGUAGGGAAUCUUCCGCAAUGGACGAAAGUCUGACGGAGCAACGCCGCGUGAGUGAUGAAGGCUUUCGGGUCGUAAAACUCUGUUGUUAGGGAAGAACAAGUGCUAGUUGAAUAAGCUGGCACCUUGACGGUACCUAACCAGAAAGCCACGGCUAACUACGUGCCAGCAGCCGCGGUAAUACGUAGGUGGCAAGCGUUAUCCGGAAUUAUUGGGCGUAAAGCGC
rnacentral:rRNA from 1 species